AACGAACGCUGGCGGCGUGGAUAAGGCAUGCAAGUCGAACGGGAAUUCAUGGGUAGCAAUAUUCGUGAAUUUUAGUGGCGAAAGGGUGCGUAACACGUAGCUUACCUACCUCAAAGUGGGGGACAGUCCCGCGAAAGCGGGGUUAAUACCGCAUGUGAUCGAAAGAUCAAAGCCGGGGAUUCGCAAGGACCUGGCGCUUUGAGAUGGGGCUGCGGCCUAUCAGGUAGUUGGCGGGGUAACGGCCCACCAAGCCUAAGACGGGUAGCUGGUCUGAGAGGACGACCAGCCACACUGGAACUGAGACACGGUCCAGACACCUACGGGUGGGAGCAGCCGAGGAUUUUUCUUAUUGUUUUAAAAGCUGAAAAAGCGACGCCGCGUGGGGGAUGAAGGUCUUCGGAUUGUAAACCCUGGCCCCCGGGAACAAGGGUGGGAACCCAUUACUCCAAAUUUGAAAUUACCCGAAAAAGGAAGCCGGGGCUAAUUCUGGG
rnacentral:rRNA from 1 species